CUGUUCUAGGAUAAAAGGGGAUAAGUAGGUUUAAAUAGUGGUAGAGGAAAAAAAGAGACUUUUGACCUACAGAAAAGGAGUAAGGCAGGUGUUGCAAAGGAGGAAUGUAGAGAGAAAGCACAGUGAUUUUGGCAGCUGAUGGAAAAAGAGGGGAACUCAGGAAUUAAUGGGUGAUGUUUAGCAGGUGUGGUUGAUGCUGCUGGUGCCUCGCCCAGGCCCUCUAUACCUACCAGAGCACCAGAGCCCAGAUGUAACAGUGUUGGCUGAUAAUAACUGACCCAUCCCCCUUCUCCAAAUGGAAGCCACUGUCCCUAGAAGGUUAGCCUACCCUCCCUUCACUCCAGGAGGCAGCCCAGGGGUACAAAAAGCUUGGUUCUUUUGCCUCAAGAUGAGAAGAUAGGAUCAACUUUGUGGUGUAAUUCAUGUUCCAGAGCCUCUUGUGCAAUCAAUCUGAGACUCAAUUCUGAUGAAAUCCCCAUUCUUGCCUAGUCUUCUAUUCCCCCUCUUACUCAUCUUCCCCCGAAGUACUCUCCCACACAUCUCCUAACAAGAAUCCCAUCUCAGAUUCUGCUACGAGGACACCUGACCUAAGACAGGAAGAUUUACACUGUACCUGUGAUGCUACCCACUUUCUCCAUGCUCCCUGUCCCAGGAAAUCUCAGAUCACCGAGGUGGUAGAGAGGAACUUGGCAGAUGACUCACAUCAGCCUGCUAAACUGUGA
rnacentral:lncRNA from 1 species